rnacentral:lncRNA from 1 species
CUUUGAAGAGCAUUGUUUAAUUCUUGAGUUCCACAGUAGAAGUCUAUACAAUUUAAGCAAAGCUUGGAUGAGCAUUGUUUCAUUCUUGAGUUCCACAUUAGAAGUCUAUGCAAUUUAGAAAAGCUUUGAUGAGAGUCGUUUAAUUCUUAAAUUCCAUAAUAGAAGUAGUCUUUGCAAUUUAGCAAAGCUUUGAUGAGCAUUUCUUUAUUGAGUUCCAUAAUAAAAGUCUAUGCAAUUUAAGCAAAGCUUUGACGAGCAUUGUUUGAUUUUUGAGUUCCACAAUAUAAGUCUAUGCACUUUAAGAAAAGCAUUGAUGAGCAUUGUUUAAUUCUUGAGUUCCACAAUAGAAGUAGUCUUUGCAAUUUAACAAAGCUUUGAUGAGAAUUGCUUAAGUCUUGAGUUCCACAACAGAAGUGUCUGCAAUUUAUGCAAAGCUUUGUUGAGCAUUGUUUCAUUCUUGAGUUCCACAUUAGAAGUCUAUGCAAUUUAGCAAAGCUUUGUUAUGCAUUGUUUUUUGAGUUCCACAAUACAAGUAGUCUUCACAAUUUAGCAAAGCUUUGAUAAGCAUUGUUUAAUUCUUAAGUUCCAUAAUAGAAGUCUAUGCAAUUUAAGCAAGGCAUUGAUAAGAAUUAUUUCAUUCUUUAGUUCCACAUUAAAAGUCUAUGCAAUUUAGUUCAAUAAGCAUUGUUUAAUUCUUGAGUAGCUCAAUAAAACUCGUCUUCGCAAUUUAGGAAAGGUUUGAAGAGCAUUGUUUAAUUAUCGAGUUACACAAUAGAAGUCUAUACAUUUGAAGCAAAGCUCUAAUGAGCAUUGUUUCAUUCUUGAGUUCCACCUUAGAAGUCUAUGCAAUUUAGCAAAGAUUUCAUGAGCGUUGUUUAAUUCGUGAGUUCCACAACAGAAGUAGUCUUCGCGAUUUAGCAAAGCUUUGAUAAGCAUGGUUUAAUUCUUAAGUUCCACAAUAGAAGUCUAUGCAAUUUAAGCAAGGCAUUGACAAGAAUUAUUUCAUUCUUUAGUUCCACAUUAAAAGACAACACAAUUUAGUUCAAUAAGCAUUGUUUAAUUCUUGAGUACCUGAAGAAAAGUCGUCUUCACAAUUUAGCAAUGCUUUGAAGAGCAUUGUUUAAUUCUUGAGUUCCACAGUAGAAGUCUAUACAAUUUAAGCAAAGCUUGGAUGAGCAUUGUUUCAUUCUUGAGUUCCACAUUAGAAGUCUAUGCAGUUUAGAAAAGCUUUGAUGAGCGUUGUUUGAUUCUUAAAUUCCAUAAUAGAAGUAAUCUUUGCAAUUUAGUAAAGCUUUGAUGAGCAUUUCUUUAUUCUUGAGUUCCAUAAUAGAAGUCUACGCAAUUUAAGCAAAGCUUUGACGAGCAUUGUUUGAUUUUUGAGUUCCACAAUAUAAGUCUAUGCACUUUAAGAAAAGCAUUGAUGAGCAUUGUUUAAUUCUUGAGUUCCACAAUAGAAGUAGUCUUUGCAAUUUAACAAAGCUUUGAUGAGAAUUGCUUAAGUCUUGAGUUCCACAACAGAAGUGUCUGCAAUUUAUGCAAAGCUUUGUUGAGCAUUGUUUCAUUCUUGAGUUCCACAUUAGAAGUCUAUGCAAUUUAGCAAAGCUUUGUUAUGCAUUGUUUUUUGAGUUCCACAAUACAAGUAGUCUUCACAAUUUAGCAAAGCUUUGAUAAGCAUUGUUUAAUUCUUAAGUUCCAUAAUAGAAGUCUAUGCAAUUUAAGCAAGGCAUUGAUAAGAAUUAUUUCAUUCUUUAGUUCCACAUUAAAAGUCUAUGCAAUUUAGUUCAAUAAGCAUUGUUUAAUUCUUGAGUAGCUCAAUAAAACUCGUCUUCGCAAUUUAGGAAAGGUUUGAAGAGCAUUGUUUAAUUAUCGAGUUACACAAUAGAAGUCUAUACAUUUGAAGCAAAGCUCUAAUGAGCAUUGUUUCAUUCUUGAGUUCCACCUUAGAAGUCUAUGCAAUUUAGCAAAGAUUUCAUGAGCGUUGUUUAAUUCGUGAGUUCCACAACAGAAGUAGUCUUCGCGAUUUAGCAAAGCUUUGAUAAGCAUGGUUUAAUUCUUAAGUUCCACAAUAGAAGUCUAUGCAAUUUAAGCAAGGCAUUGACAAGAAUUAUUUCAUUCUUUAGUUCCACAUUAAAAGACAACACAAUUUAGUUCAAUAAGCAUUGUUUAAUUCUUGAGUACCUGAAGAAAAGUCGUCUUCACAAUUUAGCAAUGCUUUGAAGAGCAUUGUUUAAUUCUUGAGUUCCACAGUAGAAGUCUAUACAAUUUAAGCAAAGCUUGGAUGAGCAUUGUUUCAUUCUUGAGUUCCACAUUAGAAGUCUAUGCAGUUUAGAAAAGCUUUGAUGAGCGUUGUUUGAUUCUUAAAUUCCAUAAUAGAAGUAAUCUUUGCAAUUUAGUAAAGCUUUGAUGAGCAUUUCUUUAUUCUUGAGUUCCAUAAUAGAAGUCUACGCAAUUUAAGCAAAGCUUUGACGAGCAUUGUUUGAUUUUUGAGUUCCACAAUAUAAGUCUAUGCACUUUAAGAAAAGCAUUGAUGAGCAUUGUUUAAUUCUUGAGUUCCACAAUAGAAGUAGUCUUUGCAAUUUAACAAAGCUUUGAUGAGAAUUGCUUAAGUCUUGAGUUCCACAACAGAAGUGUCUGCAAUUUAUGCAAAGCUUUGUUGAGCAUUGUUUCAUUCUUGAGUUCCACAUUAGAAGUCUAUGCAAUUUAGCAAAGCUUUGUUAUGCAUUGUUUUUUGAGUUCCACAAUACAAGUAGUCUUCACAAUUUAGCAAAGCUUUGAUAAGCAUUGUUUAAUUCUUAAGUUCCAUAAUAGAAGUCUAUGCAAUUUAAGCAAGGCAUUGAUAAGAAUUAUUUCAUUCUUUAGUUCCACAUUAAAAGUCUAUGCAAUUUAGUUCAAUAAGCAUUGUUUAAUUCUUGAGUAGCUCAAUAAAACUCGUCUUCGCAAUUUAGGAAAGGUUUGAAGAGCAUUGUUUAAUUAUCGAGUUACACAAUAGAAGUCUAUACAUUUGAAGCAAAGCUCUAAUGAGCAUUGUUUCAUUCUUGAGUUCCACCUUAGAAGUCUAUGCAAUUUAGCAAAGAUUUCAUGAGCGUUGUUUAAUUCGUGAGUUCCACAACAGAAGUAGUCUUCGCGAUUUAGCAAAGCUUUGAUAAGCAUGGUUUAAUUCUUUUUUUUUUUUU